UACGUAGGGGCCUAGCGUUGUCCGGAAUCAUUGGGCGUAAAGCGCGCGUAGGCGGCCCGGUAAGUCCGUUGUGAAAGUCAAAGGCUCAACCUUUGAACGCCGAUGGAUACUGCCGGGCUAGAGUCCGGAAGAGGCGAGUGGAAUUCCUGGUGUAGCGGUGAAAUGCGCAGAUAUCAGGAGGAACACCAAUUGCGAAGGCAGCUCGCUGGGACGUUACUGACGCUGAGACGCGAAAGCGUGGGGAGCAAACAGG
rnacentral:rRNA from 1 species